GAAGAGCCCUUUAUGGUUUCCAGAUCACAGCGGAGGAAACUGAAGUCCAGAGAAGUUAGCCCCUGGGUAGCAAGAGCAUCUGGGAACUGAGAGCCAGAUAAUGGCUUGAGGACUUCCUCCCUCCCUUCCCUGGACCCAAUCCAGGUUUUGCUGGAUGGUAAAGCAAUAUGGCCUCUGAAUCUUCGAGCUUGAAGAUGUUCCGCCUGGGCCUGCGCUUCAGGCCCCAGUUCCGGCUCUGAGUCUGGAGAGAAAUGGCACUGCCCCCUGCAGGCAGCUGUAACCAGGGCCGCUGCGCUCUGGCCGUGCCCUGGAUGGUGCAAUUCAAAGCUGAGCAGGAGAGAAUGACGUCUGGAGGAGGAGGGAAGCAGAGUUAAAGAAGAGGUCCACACGCGCCUUGCUGCGCAAUC